AUACUUACCUGGCAGGGGAGAUACCAUGAUCAAGAAGGUGGUUCACCCAGGGUGAGGCUCAGCCAUUGCACACCGGUUGUGCUGACCUCUGCGAAUUCCCCAAAUGUGGGAAUCUCGACUGCAUAAUUUCUGGUAGUGGGGUACUGCGUUCGCGCUCUCCCCUG